CAGCCAUAGAGCAGCUGAAACCUGGAGUCGUAGAGCCAGCUUUGGUUGACAAGAAGCAGGUGUGAUAAUUAGUGAAGGGAUCAGAAACCAAAACCAAUUGAAAAAGUAACAAACAAGCGUACAAUCAAAGGGCUGUGGAAGCAGUAACCAUGCAAUCUGAAGUCCCAUGGAACAGCUCCAUGUGUUUGGAAUACAAAAGUUUGAAAGCUCUGGAAAUUCGCUGAGUUACAGAAUGGAUCAAAAACCACAAACUGCAGAGUGACUACAAAAAAGGUGAAGGAAAGCUCUGAAGAUGUGCCCUGAAUACGUUUGUCCAGCUGUUGGAUUUGAGUAACAAAGUUUAGAAACCCAGCAUGAUUCCCCCAGCUGUCCUGCGUACACUGAUAUGGAUUGGUGGCAGUGAAAAGGCUUUAUCACUCCUGCUUCCCUUCCUGCCCCAUCAUCAAUUUUCCCUGCAUGGGUAUAGUCCUGAGUGACACCUGGUGAGUUGCUUUCUCCUAUCGCCUCCUCCCUUGGCACUGUAAAUACAUCCACAGCGUAGGAGCCAGUUGUGCCUGUCCUCGUGAUGUAAUUUUAAACCUGUGUGCUGGUGGUCUAAUGUACCAAUAACCUUCCUCUGCACAUUGCUGCGUAGCCGUUCUCUGUGGCUGUGUAGAUAGCCUUUUCUUAUCUUAAACUGUGAAUUAGAGCAGUGAUGUCUCUGGAAUAUCUGCAAACAUAUGGGGUCAACUCACCAAGUUAAAUGAAAGUGAGAAAAUGUUUAUAAUCCCUUCUGGGCACCCUAUUUCAUUAUCUAUGUAAAUGUAUAUCUUCAAGGGACGUGAGCUGGACCUCACACCUAGACACUGUUUGGAAGAAAGCCCAGCAGAGACUGUCCCUCCUGCGGCAACUAAAGGAGUACAAACUCCUACAGCAGCUGCUGGUCAACUUCUGCACUGCCAUCAAUCAGUCUGCUUGUGCACAUCCAUCACUGUGGGUUUUGGCUCAUCCUCAAAACAUGGACAGAUCCAAACGGUCUGCAGAGAGCAUCAGAGGGGGCUAACCUAUCCAGGACUCGUAGAGGUCUCGGGUCAGGAAAAAGGCUAGCUAACAUCUCUGCAGACCCCACAUAUUCUGGACGUAAACUAUUUAAACUUUUCCCUUCAGAUUGGAGCUACAGAGCACAGUGUAAAGAAACAACUAAACAAAAAAAACAGCUGCCUAAGAAAGGGUUGCUUCCCACAAACUGUGAGUCUGGUGAUCACCUAACAGAGUGGCAAGAACGAUGACCAUGCAUUUGUUUUUGCAUCGAUCCAACAAUAAUAUGCUUUUAUUUGCCCUUUUUAUUAUUAUAUUAUUUCUUUAUUUAAAAUAUUUUAAAAAAAAUUGUGAAGCCAAGCAUGGUGAUUUAACCUGACAUUGAAAGCUUGUGUUAUGAUUGACGUUUAAUUCAUUUAUGUUGGGUCCUAAAAAAAGAAGAAAAAAAUAAAAAUCUCUUUUAGGAUUGGAUAUUUCGUCGUAAACAUUGUUGAUGUUUUUCUUCUGCCAUGUCUCAUUUUAAUGUGUCAGAUCAAAGUCCAGACUUUGGCCAAGCAACUCCUAAGCCUUCAUUUGUUUCUUCAUUUUUAUUUUACUAAUUUAGAGAUUGACUUGCUGGUGCUUUGGAUCAAUGUCCUGCUGCGUAACUCAAGUGUACUUGAACAUGUUUUCUGUUAAAGAGCAGAAUUCAUGGCUCUGCCAAUCACAGAGAUUUCCCCUGGUCCUAAAGCAGCCUGAACCAUCAAACCACCAUCACCAUCUUGGACUUUUUCUUAUUCUAAAAUGCGAUUAGUUUUAUUUGUGUUGUAACAAAACACACACCUUCUUAAAAGUUCCAUUCAUUUCUUUUUAGUCAGCAAUAUAUUUUCAAAGAAGUCGUGGGGAUCAUCAAGCUGCUGUUUUGGCAAAUGUGAGGCGGGCAUUUGUGUUCCUUUUUUCUCUGUGUUAGUUUUGGCCUUGAAACUCUCCCAUUGACCCAGGACGAGGGGAUAAUCUGUCUUGUUGCACUGCCAGUGUAACAAGAGCAAGUGGAAAAUUUGCUUAAUGCCUUUCCUUAGCACUGUAUAUGGACUGAACUGAAGUAUUAUUCAAUAAAUACAGAUUUAUUCUGAAUGUUUAUGAUUUGUUUAACCUUUGCACCUUUUGAAAAAUAAAUAAAU